UGAACAUUCAUUGAAGUUAAUUUUGUUA
rnacentral:piRNA from 1 species